AGAGGACUCCGGCAUAUUUCAAAAUGGCUAAUUUCCCCCCUCCCACUGCUGGAAGCCUGAGGAUUUUUCUCUGUUAUUUAUUGUGGUGUUAGCUGAGGCAGUAAGAAGAAAUUUCACAAUUGUAGGGGCUGCUGCCCCUGUUAACUGGGUAUCUGGAAUUUUUCAUCUCUGAGUUAUCUGUGCUGAAUCUCCAGCAAUUACCGUUCAAGUUUUCCUAGCUCAGCAUGGGUUCUCAUGGUGAUUUGCAUUCAGACAAUAGGAUUGUAGCCGUCUUUUUUCUGAUGUCUGCCCCACUUGCGUCUGAAGUUGGUAUGGUGGCUUGCUGUAGGUUUCCUGAUGGGAUGGACUGGUGCCUGCCCACUGGUUGUGGUCUUAUACUAAGAGAUGAGGAUAUAAGGUAUAAAGUAUAUAUACAAGUCUUUCUGAAGCUGAAUUUUCUGGAAGAAAUGGACACAUCAAAGAAUCACGCACUCCAUGUCAUUCUACUACUGUGGAGACACCCUGACCAGGCCCACCUGUCAAUUGCUAUAGAAAAGAAGAAAUUAACACAUUCCUUCCUGAAUCUGACUGGAUCCAGGUCCUGUUACUUGAGGCAGUAACCCGGGAGACCACCAUCCUGAACACCUCCUGACUCCAGCUCUGACGACUAAGCGUCCCCCAAAGAAAGAAGAAUGCAGGUUUGUUCCAAUCCUGAGUCCUAUCUGAAAACCCGGUUUUCUCCUUUUUACUAUAAAACUCCUCACAAUUCUUUCUAAAGGGGGGGGGGUCACAGUCUUUAAGGCAUUAUCAGCCUGCUGUAUCCCUUCUUUGCCUGGCAAAGCAAUAAAGCUUUUUUUUUUUCCCUCCUUUACCC
ensembl:lncRNA